AUAUUACUCCUUCCGUCCAGAAAUACUUGUCAUAGGAAUGGAUGUAUCUAGAUGUGUUUUAGUUCGAGAUACAUCCAUUUUAUACAUUUGUGCGACAAGUAAAUCCGGAUGGAGGGAAUAUUUA
rfam:Hordeum vulgare subsp. vulgare, WGS project CAJW01000000 data, contig: morex_contig_92134